GGACGUUUGUCGAAAGAUGAAGCAUCAUCGAGUAAGAGGUAUGGUAGCAAUUUUGGGAAGAAAAAGGACAAUGAAGCGAAUGCAAUAAGCAGUGGGAGGCAGAGGAGGCCUCAGAUCAGAAGGAAUCCACCAUCCCGUCAACAUCAUCAUCAAGUAUCUUUAGUUAUCCCUGUAUUUUCUAAUCAACAAUCAACACCAGUUCAACAAUCACAACAUCAACAACAACAACCGCAACAACGAACAAACACCUACUACAACAACAAUACCAACAAUCAUCGUCAAUAAAACUUUGAAAGGAAGAAAGUCUCUUUCGACCUGAUUCCUAUGUCUUAUGCAGAAUUAUACCCGUCUUUGGUUCUCAAGAACCUAAUCCAACCAAG
rnacentral:lncRNA from 1 species